rnacentral:rRNA from 1 species
CAGCCCUAAACGAUGCGCGUUAGGUGUAUCGGUGACCACGAGUCACCGAGGUGCCGAAGGGAAACCGUGAAACGUGCCGCCUGGGAAGUACGGUCGCAAGGCUGAAACUUAAAGGAAUUGGCGGGUAGCACCACAACGGGUGGAGCCUGCGGUUUAAUUGGAUUCAACGCCGGAAAUCUUACCGGGACCGACAGCAACAUGAAGGCCAGGCUGAAGACUUUGCCGGAUUAGCUGAGAGGAGGUGCAUGGCGUAGUCGUGU